rnacentral:rRNA from 1 species
UACAGAGGGUGCAAGCGUUAAUCGGAAUUACUGGGCGUAAAGCGCGCGUAGGUGGUUUGUUAAGUCGGAUGUGAAAUCCCCGGGCUCAACCUGGGAACUGCAUUCAAAACUGACAAGCUAGAGUAUGGUAGAGGGUGGUGGAAUUUCCUGUGUAGCGGUGAAAUGCGUAGAUAUAGGAAGGAACACCAGUGGCGAAGGCGACCACCUGGACUGAUACUGACACUGAGGUGCGAAAGCGUGGGGAGCAAACAGG